rnacentral:rRNA from 1 species
GCAGUCGACGGUAACAGGGUGCUUGCACCGCUGACGAGUGGCGAACGGGUGAGUAAUGCGUCGGAACGUGCCGAGUAGUGGGGGAUAACUAUCCGAAAGGAUAGCUAAUACCGCAUACGCUUUGAGAAGGAAAGCAGGGGAUCUUAGGACCUUGCGCUAUUCGAGCGGCCGACGUCUGAUUAGCUAGUUGGUGAGGUAAGAGCUCACCAAGGCGACGAUCAGUAGCGGGUCUGAGAGGAUGAUCCGCCACACUGGGACUGAGACACGGCCCAGACUCCUACGGGAGGCAGCAGUGGGGAAUUUUGGACAAUGGGCGCAAGCCUGAUCCAGCCAUGCCGCGUGUCUGAAGAAGGCCUUCGGGUUGUAAAGGACUUUUGUCAGGGAGGAAAUCCCUAGCGCUAAUAUCGCUGGGGGAUGACAGUACCUGAAGAAUAAGCACCGGCUAACUACGUGCCAGCAGCCGCGGUAAUACGUAGGGUGCAAGCGUUAAUCGGAAUUACUGGGCGUAAAGCGUGCGCAGGCGGUUGU